rnacentral:tRNA from 1 species
GCACUGGUGUUUCAGUGGUAGAAUUCUCACCUUCCAUGCAGGAGACCCAGGUUCAAUUCCAGGCCAAUGCA